rnacentral:rRNA from 1 species
GGGGGAAUAUUGCACAAUGGGCGAAAGCCUGAUGCAGCGACGCCGCGUGAGUGAAGAAGUAUUUCGGUAUGUAAAGCUCUAUCAGCAGGGAAGAAAAUGACGGUACCUGACUAAGAAGCCCCGGCUAACUACGUGCCAGCAGCCGCGGUAAUACGUAGGGGGCAAGCGUUAUCCGGAUUUACUGGGUGUAAAGGGAGCGUAGACGGAGAGGCAAGUCUGAUGUGAAAACCCGGGGCUCAACCCCGGGAGUGCAUUGGAAACUGUUUAUCUGGAGUGCCGGAGGGGUAAGUGGAAUUCCUAGUGUAGCGGUGAAAUGCGUAGAUAUUAGGAGGAACACCAGUGGCGAAGGCGGGUAACUGGGACUGCAACUGACGCUGAGGCGCGAAAGUGUGGGGAGCAAACAGGAUUAGAUACCCUGGUAGU